rnacentral:lncRNA from 1 species
UUUGUUUAAAAAGAAAUUGUCAUUGUUGGAUUUUUUUUGGAUUGUCAUUUAUAUUAUGAUUUUUUAUUUGGGUAAUGCUACACAAGUUAAGAGAUAAAUAUAGUAAAAAUUUAUUAGAAAUUGUGCAUUGAAUUUAAUACAACUUUUAAUUAAUGAUUUUAUCACUUUUUUCAAUAGAAUUUUUAUUUAUGGAUUUUUUAACAUGUGCACCAGGAGCACGACCUUUUUAUUUUACACAGUGGAUUAUCA